CAGUAAAGCAAGAGUUCAGUAGUAUUCAUGCAGAUCAAAUUUUUUCUUCCUGGAUAGAAGAAUGACCACAAAACUACCAUCUCAAGAGGAGUUUGAGAACUGGACAGCUUUUCAAGUUGCAGAUCUCUUAAGACAGUUUGGAAUGCCUGAAUCUGCUGCGGUUGUAGAAAAACUGUGCAUGAAUGGAUCUCGUUUCUUGCCUGGCAGAUAAAGAAGAAAGCAACUCCGUGGUAUCU
rnacentral:lncRNA from 1 species